rnacentral:rRNA from 1 species
UACGAAGGGGGCUAGCGUUGCUCGGAAUCACUGGGCGUAAAGGGCGCGUAGGCGGCGCGACAAGUCACUUGUGAAAUCUCUGGGCUCAACCCAGAACGGUCAAGUGAUACUGUCGUGCUAGAGUGCGGAAGGGGCAACUGGAAUUCUUGGUGUAGCGGUGAAAUGCGCAGAUAUCGGGAGGAACACCUAUGGCGAAGGCAGCUCGCUGGGACGUUAACUGACGCUGGAGACGCGAAAAGCCGUGGGGGAGCAAACAGG